AUUGAACGCUGGCGGCAUGCCUUACACAUGCAAGUCGAACGGUAACGCGGGGCAACCUGGCGACGAGUGGCGAACGGGUGAGUAAUGUAUCGGAACGUGCCCAGUUGUGGGGGAUAACUGCUCGAAAGAGCAGCUAAUACCGCAUACGACCUGAGGGUGAAAGCGGGGGAUCGCAAGACCUCGCGCAAUUGGAGCGGCCGAUAUCAGAUUAGGUAGUUGGUGGGGUGAAGGCUCACCAAGCCAACGAUCUGUAGCUGGUCUGAGAGGACGACCAGCCACACUGGGACUGAGACACGGCCCAGACUCCUACGGGAGGCAGCAGUGAGGAAUUUUGGACAAUGGACGCAAGUCUGAUCCAGCCAUGCCGCGUGCGGGAAGAAGGCCUUCGGGUUGUAAACCGCUUUCGUCAGGGAAGAAACGCUCUGGGUUAAUACCUCGGGGUAAUGACGGUACCUGAAGAAUAAGCACCGGCUAACUACGUGCCAGCCGCCGCAGUAACAC
rnacentral:rRNA from 1 species